rnacentral:rRNA from 1 species
AACGAACGCUGGCGGCAGGCCUAACACAUGCAAGUCGAGCGGACCUUUCGGGGUCAGCGGCGGACGGGUGAGUAACGCGUGGGAAUAUGCCCUUCUCUACGGAAUAGUCCUGGGAAGCUGGGGGUAAUACCGUAUACGCCCUUUGGGGGAAAGAUUUAUCGGGGAAGGAUUAGCCCGCGUUGGAUUAGGUAGUUGGUGGGGUAAUGGCCUACCAAGCCGACGAUCCAUAGCUGGUUUGAGAGGAUGAUCAGCCACACUGGGACUGAGACACGGCCCAGACUCCUACGGGAGGCAGCAGUGGGGAAUCUUAGACAAUGGGGGCAACCCUGAUCUAGCCAUGCCGCGUGAGUGAUGAAGGCCUUAGGGUUGUAAAGCUCUUUCAGCUGGGAAGAUAAUGACGGUACCAGCAGAAGAAGCCCCGGCUAACUCCGUG